rnacentral:rRNA from 1 species
CCUACGGGUGGCAGCAGUGAGGAAUAUUGGGCAAUGGUCGGGAGACUGAACCAGCCAAGCCGCGUGAGGGAUGAAGGUACAGAGUAUCGUAAACCUCUUUUGUCAGGGAACAAAGGCGGGGACGUGUCCCCGGAUGAGUGUACCUGAAGCAAAAGCAUCGGCUAACUCCGUGCCAGCAGCCGCGGUCAUACGGAGGAUGCGAGCGUUAUCCGGAUUUAUUGGGGUUAAAGGGGGGGCAGGCGGUCUGUUAAGUCAGCGUUAAAAGCCCGGGGCUCAACCCCGGCCCGCCGUUGAAACUGGCAGUCUCGAGUUGGAGAGAAGUAUGCGGAAUGCGCGGUGAAGCGGUGAAAUGCAUAGAUAUCGGGCAGAACUCCGAUGGCGAAGGCAGCAUGACGGCUCCACACUGACGCUGAGGCACGAAAGCGUGGGUAUCGAACAGGAUUAGAUACCCCGGUAGUC